rnacentral:lncRNA from 1 species
CAUCAGUGUUAGCUUAGAAAUAUUAGGCUUCUCAAGUUAUUGUGAGAGAAAGAAUAAUAUGAUCAAAAUAAAAGAGAAGAUGUUUUUUGGAUUUUUGCAAUAGAGGGGGCUAAACCUAAGUUUUUUAUUAAUGGGCCUGACAAGAUCUCACAAUCCUGCUCCUACGUAUCUCAAUAGAGAACUCAAUGCUUACGUAGUUCUGGGUAGAAAA